CUCCUCUCCCCAUUCCCCCAAUCUGGCUGCCUCCUCUUCCCAUCCCCAGAUUGACCACCACCAACGGCGGGCGGCACCGGUCGACGCCUCAUCUGGUCAUCCCUUCCGGUCUAGUCCCGUCGCCCUCUCCUGCUCCUCGCCUCCUCGCGACCUUGCCUCGUCCUCCUUCACAUCAAGGCACCGGCCGACACGUCAUCUGGCCGCCCCUUCACAUCUGGUCUCAUCGCCGUCUCCUGCUCCUCGCCUCCUCACGGCCUCGCCUCCUCAACUCCUCCUUCACGUCAAGGCCGGGCAAGGCGGCUGCAAGUCGAGGAUGGUGGCGAUGGCGAGCGAUGGUCGGGCAAGAAGAUAACCGCGGCGGUGAUUGUGGCGACAACAAAGACCGGCGACUCGCCUCCUUUUCCUCACCUCAGUUGACCGGCAUCACUCCUCUUCCUCACCUCAGGUGACCGGCAGCACAAGCAGGUGACCCGCGGCUUCUGCAUCGACCCGAGAGGCCGAGACCAUCAGGGUGAGAACAAUUCAUCACUGUCUACUGAGUUUCAAACUUGUCUUGAUGAGGAGGACGAACCAGUGGGUGAGGAACUCUCCACUUGCAAUAACUAUUAGCCUUGCUACUUGCCUCCAUGGAGUCAAGAAUGAAGAAAAUGAAGGACCAAGAAGCUAUUGUGAUGGUCUCUUCUUCAUUUCAUUUAUUGUGCCCACCAUGCUUGUGUUAGGAAUUAGAACUUUGGGCUUGUAGUCGUACUAAGUAUUGUUGUUUGUGCCAGCCAAUCGUACUUUCAAUAUGUGGUCAGACUUGAGUUGAGAUGAUUGAAUCUGUCAAGCUUAUUGUGGUCAAACUUAUUAUGGUCAGAUUUGGGAUGAUUAAA